GCCGGAGUGGCGGAACUGGCAGACGCGCCGGUCUCAAAAAUCGGUCCGGGGCGACCCGGGUGUGGGUUCGAUUCCCACCUCCGGCACCA
rnacentral:tRNA from 6 species